rnacentral:rRNA from 1 species
GAUAACCCCGGGAAACUGGGUAUAAUACCCGAUAGGUCUCGAUUGCUGGAAUGCAUCGAGAUUUAAAGCUCCGGCGCCUAAGGACGGGUCUGCGGCCUAUCAGGUAGUAGUGGGUGUAGCGUACCUACUAGCCUACGACGGGUACGGGUUGUGAGAGCAAGAGCCCGGAGAUGGAUUCUGAGACACGAAUCCAGGCCCUACGGGGUGCAGCAGGCGCGAAAACUUUACAAUGCUGGCAACAGCGAUAAGGGAACCUCGAGUGCCAGGUUACAAAUCUGGCUGUCGAGAUGCCUAAAAAGCAUUUCAUAGCAAGGGCCGGGCAAGACCGGUGCCAGCCGCCGCGGUAACACCGGCGGCUCGAGUGUUAACCGUUAUUAUCGGGUCUAAAGGGUCUGUACCCGGCGGGAUAAGUCUCUCGAGAAAUCUCGCAUCUUUUCUGUCUCGGGUUCACGAGAUACCGUGUGGGUCGCGUCCCGGAGAGAUGAGAGAGGCAUAUAAGGUAUAGGCGUGAACUCUUGUAUUCCUAGAAUGAUUCAGGGUGAAGAACGCCUCGCAUCUAAACCCGUGUGACCGCCCAGGGAUUACACCUAGUGGCACGAGCCGCAUUACAGACGAGACGUACUCCUCAGCGGGAGCGACUCUUCGGUAUGAGUCAAUCCACGCUGCGCCCGUUGAUCUGCGUCGCAGUUAUCCGGGGCAUGGAGCAAACUGUAUCUCCUGGCCCGCAGGAUUGUAUAUUUAGAGUAAUUGCCGGGAGAACUUCUCCAGCGCUUGUACCUUGUUUUUAAAACUCGAUAAAAACGCUGUACAUAUUCAGGGCGCCGGGAUAUAACAGUGGAGGGCUGGGCUGAGUACUUGUGCCGGCAUUUGCUUAGAAAGUGGUUGUAU